rnacentral:tRNA from 1 species
ACUGCGAUAGCUCAGUUGGUAGAGCAUCUGCCCGGUAAGCGGAAUGUUGCCGGUUUGAUUCCGGCUCGCGGCA